GCCCAGAUGGCGGAAUUGGUAGACGCGCCAGCUUCAGGUGCUGGUGACCGCAUGGUCGUGGAGGUUCGAGUCCUCUUCUGGGCACCA
rnacentral:tRNA from 1 species